UUAAAGAGUUCUAUAACUCCCAAACCCAUGUGAACAUACCUAACGUUGCCUCGGCAGGUCGCACCUACCUUGUAGCACCCUACCCUGUAGGGCCUACCCGGGAGGUGCGGGUAAGCCUGCCGGCGGCCCACCAAACUCUGUUUGAUAUUGAAUUCUGAACCUAUAACUAAAUAAGUUAAAACUUUCAACAACGGAUCUCUUGGUUCUGGCAUCGAUGAAGAACGCAGCGAAAUGCGAUAAGUAAUGUGAAUUGCAGAAUUCAGUGAAUCAUCGAAUCUUUGAACGCAUAUUGCGCCCAUUAGUAUUCUAGUGGGCAGGACCGUUCGAGCGUCAUUUCAACCCUUAAGCCUUCGUUGCUUAGUGUUGGGAGCCUACGGCAACGUAGCUCCUCAAAGUUAGUGGCGGAGUUGGUUCACACUCUAGACGUAGUAAUUUUUUAUCUCGCCUAUUAGUUGGACUAAUCCCCUGCCGUAAAACCCCCAAUUUAUAUCAAGGUUGACCUCGAAUCGGUUCAGACAAACUCGCUAAAUUGAAGCAUCUUAGUCAGCGAAGGA
rnacentral:rRNA from 1 species